GAUGAACGCUGGCGGCGUGCUUAACACAUGCAAGUCGAACGAUGAAGCCCAGCUUGCUGGGUGGAUUAGUGGCGAACGGGUGAGUAACACGUGAGUAACCUGCCCUUAACUCUGGGAUAAGCCUGGGAAACUGGGUCUAAUACCGGAUAGGAGCGUCCACCGCAUGGUGGGUGUUGGAAAGAUUUAUCGGUUUUGGAUGGACUCGCGGCCUAUCAGCUUGUUGGUGGGGUAAUGGCUCACCAAGGCGACGACGGGUAGCCGGCCUGAGAGGGUGACCGGCCACACUGGGACUGAGACACGGCGCAGACUCCUACGGGAGGCAGCAGUGGGGAAUAUUGCACAAUGGGAGCGAGCCUGAUGCAGCGACGCCGCGUGAGGGAUGACGGCCUUCGGGUUGUAAACCUCUUUCAGUAGGGAAGAAGCGAAAGUGACGGUACCUGCAGAAGAAGCACCGGCUAACUACGUG
rnacentral:rRNA from 1 species